rnacentral:rRNA from 2 species
GGUUAAGCGACUAAGCGUACACGGUGGAUGCCCUGGCAGUCAGAGGCGAUGAAGGGCGUGCUAAUCUGCGAUAAGCGCCGGUAAGGUGAUAUGAACCGUUAUAACCGGCGAUACCCGAAUGGGGAAACCCAGUGUGAUUCGUCACACUAUCAUUAACUGAAUCCAUAGGUUAAUGAGGCGAACCGGGGGAACUGAAACAUCUAAGUACCCCGAGGAAAAGAAAUCAACCGAGAUUCCCCCAGUAGCGGCGAGCGAACGGGGAGGAGCCCAGAGCCUGAAUCAGCAUGUGUGUUAGUGGAAGCGUCUGGAAAGGCGCGCGAUACAGGGUGACAGCCCCGUACACAAAAGCGCAUGUGCUGUGAGCUCGAUGAGUAGGGCGGGACACGUGGUAUCCUGUCUGAAUAUGGGGGGACCAUCCUCCAAGGCUAAAUACUCCUGACUGACCGAUAGUGAACCAGUACCGUGAGGGAAAGGCGAAAAGAACCCCGGCGAGGGGAGUGAAAAAGAACCUGAAACCGUGUACGUACAAGCAGUGGGAGCACAGGUUUACCUGUGUGACUGCGUACCUUUUGUAUAAUGGGUCAGCGACUUAUAUUCUGUAGCAAGGUUAACCGUAUAGGGGAGCCGGAGGGAAACCGAGUCUUAAUUGGGCGUUAAGUU